AGUGAACGCUGGCGGUAGGCCUAACACAUGCAAGUCGAACGGCAGCACAGUAAGAGCUUGCUCUUACGGGUGGCGAGUGGCGGACGGGUGAGGAGUACAUCGGAAUCUACUUUUUCGUGGGGGAUAACGUAGGGAAACUUACGCUAAUACCGCAUACGACCUACGGGUGAAAGCAGGGGAUCUUCGGACCUUGCGCGAUUGAAUGAGCCGAUGUCGGAUUAGCUAGUUGGCGGGGUAAAGGCCCACCAAGGCGACGAUCCGUAGCUGGUCUGAGAGGAUGAUCAGCCACACUGGAACUGAGACACGGUCCAGACUCCUACGGGAGGCAGCAGUGGGGAAUAUUGGACAAUGGGCGCAAGCCUGAUCCAGCCAUACCGCGUGGGGGAAGAAGGCCUUCGGGUUGUAAAGCCCUUUUGUUGGGAAAGAAAAGCAGCAGGUUAAUACCCCGCUGUUCUGACGGUACCCAAAGAAUAAGCACCGGCUAACUUCGUG
rnacentral:rRNA from 1 species